GGGCGCUUAGCUCAGCGGUAGAGCACACCUUUUACUCGGGUGGGGUCGCACGUUCGAUCCGUGCAGCGCCCACCA
rnacentral:tRNA from 1 species